GGAAUCUGGGAGGACCAUCUCCUAAGGCUAAAUACUCUCUAGUGACCGAUAGUGAACCAGUACCGUGAGGGAAAGGUGAAAAGCACCCCGGAAGGGGAGUGAAAUAGAACCUGAAACCGUGUGCUUACAAGUAGUCAGAGCCCGUUAAUGGGUGAUGGCGUGCCUUUUGUAGAAUGAACCGGCGAGUUACGAUUUGAUGCAAGGUUAAGCAGUAAAUGUGGAGCCGUAGCGAAAGCGAGUCUGAAUAGGGCGUUUAGUAUUUGGUCGUAGACCCGAAACCAGGUGAUCUACCCUUGGUCAGGUUGAAGUUCAGGUAACACUGAAUGGAGGACCGAACCGACUUACGUUGAAAAGUGAGCGGAUGAACUGAGGGUAGCGGAGAAAUUCCAAUCGAACCUGGAGAUAGCUGGUUCUCUCCGAAAUAGCUUUAGGGCUAGCCUCAAGUGAUGAUUAUUGGAGGUAGAGCACUGUUUGGACGAGGGGCCCCUCUCGGGUUACCGAAUUCAGACAAACUCCGAAUGCCAAUUAAUUUAACUUGGGAGUCAGAACAUGGGUGAUAAGGUCCGUGUUCGAAAGGGAAACAGCCCAGACCACCAGCUAAGGUCCCAAAAUAUAUGUUAAGUGGAAAAGGAUGUGGCGUUGCCCAGACAACUAGGAUGUUGGCUUAGAAGCAGCCAUCAUUUAAAGAGUGCGUAAUAGCUCACUAGUCGAGUGACACUGCGCCGAAAAUGUACCGGGGCUAAACAUAUUACCGAAGCUGUGGAUUGUCCUUUGGACAAUGGUAGGAGAGCGUUCUAAGGGCGUUGAAGCAUGAUCGUAAGGACAUGUGGAGCGCUUAGAAGUGAGAAUGCCGGUGUGAGUAGCGAAAGACGGGUGAGAAUCCCGUCCACCGAUUGACUAAGGUUUCCAGAGGAAGGCUCGUCCGCUCUGGGUUAGUCGGGUCCUAAGCUGAGGCCGACAGGCGUAGGCGAUGGAUAACAGGUUGAUAUUCCUGUACCACCUAUAAUCGUUUUAAUCGAUGGGGGGACGCAGUAGGAUAGGCGAAGCGUGCGAUUGGAUUGCACGUCUAAGCAGUAAGGCUGAGUAUUAGGCAAAUCCGGUACUCGUUAAGGCUGAGCUGUGAUGGGGAGAAGACAUUGAGUCUUCGAGUCGUUGAUUUCACACUGCCGAGAAAAGCCUCUAGAUAGAAAAUAGGUGCCCGUACCGCAAACCGACACAGGUAGUCAAGAUGAGAAUUCUAAGGUGAGCGAGCGAACUCUCGUUAAGGAACUCGGCAAAAUGACCCCGUAACUUCGGGAGAAGGGGUGCUCUUUAGGGUUAACGCCCAGAAGAGCCGCAGUGAAUAGGCCCAAGCGACUGUUUAUCAAAAACACAGGUCUCUGCUAAACCGUAAGGUGAUGUAUAGGGGCUGACGCCUGCCCGGUGCUGGAAGGUUAAGAGGAGUGGUUAGCUUCUGCGAAGCUACGAAUCGAAGCCCCAGUAAACGGCGGCCGUAACUAUAACGGUCCUAAGGUAGCGAAAUUCCUUGUCGGGUAAGUUCCGACCCGCACGAAAGGCGUAACGAUUUGGGCACUGUCUCAACGAGAGACUCGGUGAAAUCAUAGUACCUGUGAAGAUGCAGGUUACCCGCGACAGGACGGAAAGACCCCGUGGAGCUUUACUGUAGCCUGAUAUUGAAAUUCGGCACAGCUUGUACAGGAUAGGUAGGAGCCUUUGAAACGUGAGCGCUAGCUUACGUGGAGGCGCUGGUGGGAUACUACCCUAGCUGUGUUGGCUUUCUAACCCGCACCACUUAUCGUGGUGGGAGACAGUGUCAAGCGGGCAGUUUGACUGGGGCGGUCGCCUCCUAAAAGGUAACGGAGGCGCUCAAAGGUUCCCUCAGAAUGGUUGGAAAUCAUUCAUAGAGUGCAAAGGCAUAAGGGAGCUUGACUGCGAGACCUACAAGUCGAGCAGGGUCGAAAGACGGACUUAGUGAUCCGGUGGUUCCGCAUGGAAGGGCCAUCGCUCAACGGAUAAAAGCUACCCCGGGGAUAACAGGCUUAUCUCCCCCAAGAGUUCACAUCGACGGGGAGGUUUGGCACCUCGAUGUCGGCUCAUCGCAUCCUGGGGCUGUAGUCGGUCCCAAGGGUUGGGCUGUUCGCCCAUUAAAGCGGUACGCGAGCUGGGUUCAGAACGUCGUGAGACAGUUCGGUCCCUAUCCGUCGUGGGCGUAGGAAAUUUGAGAGGAGCUGUCCUUAGUACGAGAGGACCGGGAUGGACAUACCUCUGGUGUACCAGUUGUCGUGCCAACGGCAUAGCUGGGUAGCUAUGUGUGGACGGGAUAAGUGCUGAAAGCAUCUAAGCAUGAAGCCCCCCUCAAGAUGAGAUUUCCCAACUUCGGUUAUAAGAUCCCUCAAAGAUGAUGAGGUUAAUAGGUUCGAGGUGGAAGCAUGGUGACAUGUGGAGCUGACGAAUACUAAUCGAUCGAAGACUUAAUCAA
rnacentral:rRNA from 3 species